GACGAACGCUGGCGGCGUGCUUAACACAUGCAAGUGGUGCGACGAACCAGGCUUCGGCCUGGGGCAGAGCCGCGAACGGGUGAGUAACACGUGGGCAACCUGCCCUGUUGAUCGGGACAACCCGGGGAAACCCGGGCUAAUACCGAAUGUGGUGCCGGCUCAUGAGAGCCGUCACGCAAGGAAGCUGCGGCCUCCGCGACAGGAUGGGCCCGCGGCCCAUUAGCUUGUUGGUGGGGUAAUGGCCUACCAAGGCAACGAUGGGUAGCUGGUCUGAGAGGACGAUCAGCCACACUGGGACUGAGACACGGCCCAGACUCCUACGGGAGGCUGCAGUGGGGAAUCUUGCGCAAUGAGCGACAGCUUGACGCAGCAACGCCGCGUGGGGGAAGAAGGCUUUCGGGUCGUAAACCCCUUUCAGUUAGGACGAAGCUUUAUUGGUUAAUAACCAAUUGGAGUGACGGUACUUUCAGAAGAAGCCCCGGCUAACUACGUGCCAGCAGCCGCGGUAA
rnacentral:rRNA from 1 species